rnacentral:rRNA from 1 species
CCUACGGGUGACAGCAGUGGGGCAUAUUGGGCAAUGGGCGCAAGCCUGACCCAGCAACGCCGCGUGAAGGAAGAAGGCUUUCGGGUUGUAAACUUCUUUUGUCAGGGACGAAGCAAGUGACGGUACCUGACGCAUAAGCCACGGCUAACUACGUGCCAGCAGCCGCGGUAAUCCGUAGGUGGCAAGCUUUAUCCGGAUUUAUUGGGUGUAAAGGGCGUGUAGGCGGGAAUGCAAGUCAGAUGUGAAACCUAUGGGCUCAACCCAUAGCCUGCAUUUGAAACUGUCUUUCUUGAGUGCUGGAGAGGCAAUCGGAAUGCCGGGUGUAGCGGUGAAAUGCGUAGAUAUACGGAGGAACACCAGUGGCGAAGGCGGAUUGCUGGACAGUAACUGACGCUGAGGCGCGAAAGCGUGGGGAGCAAACAGGAUUAGAUACCCCUGUAGUC